ensembl:lncRNA
CGGAGCCACAGAGCAGUGACUGGUCAGACCAUAGAUAAUAUAGAAGACAGCUCGCUAGCGUAUCUAGUCUAUGUAUCUGUGGUUGGCAAGUCUGGUCGCAUCUCUGGCUGCUGUUGACCUUGUUUUUGGAGUAAAACACGGUGGAAGCUGAAUUAGUGAGGAUGACUCCUGCCAUCUCUAAGCUCCUCACACAUCUUUACUUGUGUUACGUGUGGCUGGUUGCUGUGUUUCUCCUUGCUCUCUCUGAUCUCCCUCCUCCCUUUAUCUGUGUAAUUGCAGCACACCUGAGUGCUGUUAGCACUUUGGGAGGAGGAGGGUAUUGAGGAAGGCAGGAGAGAGCAGCAGUCAGAGCAGAGAUUCGAGCACCUCCCAGCCACACGUCCUCCUGGACAAACGCGUGAGGGGUUUGGUUGCGUUUAUAAACUUUCCUUUUGUGAUUAACAUUGUGUUCUUUUCGUUUCAGGUACUUUGGCUAUUCCCUCCCCACGCAUGUUUAGAUUGCUGGGUUUUGUUGUUUUAGUUUGGCUGUAGUUGCUGGUACUCCUGUUUUCGCUGUUUUCUUUUGUAGUUAGGAAGUUUAGUACGGGGUGGUGACUGGUCCGAGAGCCCACUGCAGGGUUAGCCACGUUCACCACCCCUCUUUUGUUUCUUUUGGCCAGCAGCUACAGCCCUUUUACUUUCACCAUUAUUUUCAUCUUGGUUGAUUCACGUUAGUUGAAUUAAUUGUUAAUAAAGUUGUUUUUUUCUCCCCCAUUCUCACUUUACCUGCCGUGUCUGUCUAGUUUAUAUGUUGCCGGUCUCUUUGUUUAUUCGAGCCUUGUCAACUUUAAAGAGGCCGUAACAACCUGCACAUGAGGAAAAUCACUCCUGUAGAAUGCAGAUGUUCAGAGGGAGAUGAUGCCACAUCUGGUCCAGCUGAUGGAAGGUCUUGAAGUUCUCUGACUGGCCUCGACUGAAGAUGGUCGUCUCACUGGAUUUAAGGUUCAGAUGCUCAGUAACAAACUCCACCAAUGAGCCAACAGGGAAGCUUUAGGUUUAUUAAAUGUUGCUAUGAAGGUAUCGCUGUUUUUCUUUGUGAAUGCAAUGAGCUCCAACUGAAACUUGAAUUAGAACUUAGAAGUAAAUUCUUCCAUCUGAAAGCAUUUAGUUGCAUUAAUAACCUGAUAACAUUCUAAUUUUUAUUCCAGUCUUGGUUGAAAAUAGAAUCUCUGUAUUGAUUCAGGUAAAAACUGAACUUCACAGCAUGUUGGAGCAAAACAACCAGAUGAAAACUGUGAUGGUGUUGGAUUGUCAGACCGUAAUGUUGCAGCUCAAAGCAGCUUUUCUAGCUCAGUUCAUUCUGACAUUCAGCUAUGAAUCAACACAGCAGAUGGUGAUCCAUGCUGUGGAAGUCUCACAUCUCCUGAUUUAAUGGAGCUGCUUUGCACUUUUUACACUGUUUAUUCACCAACACUUUAUUUAAUAAAAGUCCCAUCUAGUUUUUAUGAGGAAUGUGAUGUUUUAAUUUCUCUGUUAAUAACUGCAGUCUAAUGCAACAGCUGGAGUUGUAACAUCUGUCCUGAUAUUGAUCAUGAAAUAUUGAUCAGAAUACUUAUGGUUAGCAGUCAUCCCUGAAGUUUUACAUUAAAAUCUUUACUUGUGUUGUGAACUUUGGUAAGAAGCAGAAACGUUAGCGUUGCCAUGGAUACAUGAGUAUUAAAUUCUGUCCAUGUUUCCAUUUUGGUAAAUUCAGUCCAGUUCCAGAAUGUGGAGGAAUUUAGUCUCAAUCACAGACAACAAAUAUUAUCUGAAAGUCGGGUUAUUGUUGUUUAUCAGCACAAUACAAAAAGAUUAAUGUUAGAAAUAUUCCAGUUAAGACUCUAGAAUAUCAUGAUUUAUGUAAAUUUACGUCAAUAAUAUGAAUGUUCAGGUUAAGAUUGUACAGUGAUAUUUAUUAUGUAAGUUUAGCUGAUUAAAGUUUAGGACUCUGCACUAAAAUUUUAUUUUAAUUGACAUCAUUAUUAUAAUAUUUAGGGUCAGACCCUACAGUAUUGAGGUUAAGAAAUCAAAUAUUCUAUAAAAUGUAAAUACACUGAACUCAUUUGGAUAUAUUUAAGUGAGACUCUACAAUAUUAUUUGACACAAAUCUAUCUAAAUCAAAAUUUUAAUACUUUUCACGCCAAACACUUACUGGACUGAUUUAAAUAUUAAAAUCACUCCUUUCUAAUCCUCUGCUGUACUUUCAAACCUGAGGCCUUAAAUAGAAACACACAAGUAUCUGAUUGAAGGAACUUCUGCAGAGUCCUGGUUCCAGAACAUGAUGAUAGAAUUAUAGACAAACUUUAACAAAAGCUGCCUGAGAGUUUACAGGUUUUUAUGUUGGAUUUCUUCGGUAAUUUAAUGAGAGUUAUCAGCAAUAAUCAAGUGUUCAUUUGAUGAACUACAUUUCCUAAAACAUCCAGAAUUGGAGCUCAUAUCUUUGACAGCUGUAAAGUUUCUGCUCCUUCAAAGUUCACAACACAAUGAAUGAAUUCCUAAAACACUCUCAGUGCUGGAGAGUGUUUGUGAUGCUGAAGCAGUGACCAGUUUUUCUGUUUCUUCUCUGAAGCUGCACAAUGAGGGACGUCUGCAGAGACUGAGAAAGAGUCUCACCACAUCCUGACAUGAGGAAAAAGACUUUAUUGAAGACUACAAUGAGAAAAACUAUCAGACAGCAGACGGCUGCAUUUAAGAGAAGAAGACCAUCAAACAUCCACGUCAGCUGAUGGAGGUCCAAGAGUCUCACCGAACAGCCAACCUACAGAGUGAAGACCUCGAAUCUGAUUGGACGGCCUCCUAUUCAGCCACAUGUGUGAACAAAUGCCUCUAAGCUGAUUUGUUUUCUAAAAUAAAUCUAGUUUGAGUCCUAAUCUAUGCCUGUGUGUUUGCUUCUUUACACCACUGUUAACAGUUUAGGCUGUUAGAUUGUUCCAGAUAAGACAAGUACAAGAUUCUUCAGAGCUGUUCUACCACGAGCCUGACAGGAAGAACGCCAACAGCUACUGAAUGUUCCUGUGGUUCCCUCAAGGCUACAGGAGGAGCCGUACGAGGACGAGCUGGUCCACCUGAUGGUGGCCAGUCGCUGUGGUUCAAAGCCAACACCGACUACGUGGACUUCUACUGGACCACAUGGAGGCCUUCAAACCGGACCAACAAGUUCACCGACUCCCCGACUCGUGGGUCUGAGGAUGCCGCCGAGCCUCGGUCCAGCCGGCCUCCUGUCUGUGGGUGUUUGAGUGCUGAGAGGUUUGUGGAUCCACGUGAACGUGUCUGUGUUGAAACAGCAGCUUUGGACUCAGUAACGCCAGGAAAAACCAAGAGCUCCUUUAUUUGUGACUUCCACUAAAAAAACUGAUGAAAAUAAGUUUGCCAGGGUUCUGACCGAUAACAGAUUAUUAAAUACUGAAAAUAAUUGUUUAAAUAUUCCUUUAAACAAUCCUUUUAGGUCUACAUUUCCUUUACACUGACUUCUUGGUAUAUGUACAAGUAUUUUGGGUGGAAUAUACCAUUAAGCCCGAUGUUCAAGGGUUCUUCUGGGAAUAUACC